rnacentral:tRNA from 1 species
UCUCUGGUGGUCCAGUUGUUAGAACUCUGUGCUUCCACUGCAGGGGGCCCAGGUUUGAUUCCUGGAUGGAGAA